GAUGAACGCUAGCGAUAGGCCUAACACAUGCAAGUCGAGGGGCAGCACGGGAAUAGCAAUACAACUGGUGGCGACCGGCGCACGGGUGAGUAACGCGUAUGUAAUCUACCUACAACAGGGGGAUAACCCGGAGAAAUCCGGACUAAUACCGCAUAGAACAGGGGUCCCGCCUGGGACUAUUUGUUAAAGAUUUAUCGGUUGUAGAUGAGCAUGCGUUCCAUUAGAUAGUUGGUAAGGUAACGGCUUACCAAGUCAGCGAUGGAUAGGGGAACUGAGAGGUUUGUCCCCCACACUGGAACUGAGACACGGACCAGACUCCUACGGGAGGCAGCAGUGAGGAAUAUUGGUCAAUGGGCGAGAGCCUGAACCAGCCAAAUCGCGUGAAGGAAGACUGCCUUAUGGGUUGUAAACUUCUUUUACAGGGGAAUAAAAAGACAUACGAGUAUGUCAUUGCAUGUACCCUGUGAAUAAGCAUCGGCUAACUCCGUGCCAGCAGCCGCCGUAA
rnacentral:rRNA from 1 species